AUCUUCUGGGUAUAUGCCCUGA
rnacentral:misc_RNA from 1 species